AAAUUUUAUGGUCAAGUUAUUAAGGGCUUACGGUGGAUGCCUUGGCGUCAAUAGGCGAUGAAGGACGUGGUAAGCUGCGAUAAGCCUCGGUGAGCUGCAAACAAGCUUUGACCCGGGGAUUUCCGAAUGGGGGAACCCGUCUCGAGUAAUGUCGGGACAUCCAUCCCUGAAUCUAUAGGGGAUGUGAGGCGAACCAGGGGAAGUGAACCAUCUCAGUACCCUGAGGAAAAGAAAGCAACCGCCAUUCCCUGAGUAGCGGCGAGCGAAAGGGGAGGAGCCUAAAUCAAACAUACGGAAUAGCCCGUGUGCGUUGUAUGUUUGAGGUUGUGGGAUUAGGCGCGACCCGGGCACGGAUGGGUCAAAGAGUUACCAAUCAAAACCUUAGCCGAAUAGUCCUGGAAAGGUUAACCAUAGAGGGUGACAGUCCCUUAGGUGAAAAGGUUUUGACUCUUUGCCUAACUCCCGAGUACCACGGGACACGUGGAAUCCCGUGGGAAUCAAGGAGGACCAUCUCCUAAGGCUAAAUACUUAUUGACGACCGAUAGUGAACUAGUACCGUGAGGGAAAGGUGAAAAGUACCCCUGUGAGGGGAGUGAAAUAGUACCUGAAACCGUGAGCCUACAAGCAGUGGGAGCCUUUAUCCUGGGGUUAUACCUGGGAAAGGGGUGACCGCGUGCCUUUUGCAUAAUGAGCCGGCUAGUUACUUUGGGUAGCAAGGUUAAGCUUUACCAAGCGAGCCGUAGCGAAAGCGAGUCUUAAUAGGGCGUUCAGUUGCCUGGAGUAGACGCGAAGCCAAGUGAUCUACCCUUGGCCAGGGUGAAGCAUACGUAACAGUAUGUGGAGGCCCGAACCAGUUCAGGUUGAAAACUGAUUGGAUGAGCUGAGGGUAGGGGUGAAAGGCUAAUCAAACUUGGUGAUAGCUGGUUCUCCCCGAAAUAGCUUUAGGGCUAGCCUCACAAUUAGGUGCCGGAGGUAGAGAGCUGGAUGGACUAGGGGCCUUACCAGGUUACCAAAUCCAACCAAACUUCAAAUGCCGUCAACCUUUAUUGUGGGAGUCAGACUAUGGGGGAUAAGCUCCAUGGUCGAAAGGGAAACAGCCCAGACCGCCAGCUAAGGUCCCUAAAUAUGGGCUAAGUGUGAAAGGUGGUGGAGACGCUAAUACAGCCAGGAGGUUGGCUUAGAAGCAGCCAUCCUUUAAAGAAAGCGUAAUAGCUCACUGGUCGAGUGGCUCUGCGCCGAUAAUUUAAGGGGGCUCAAGCCCGUUACCGAAGCUGCGGACUUCGGCUUUUAUAGUCGGAGUGGUAGGGGAGCAUUCCCCCAGGGGUGAAGCCGAACCGUGAGGUUCAGUGGACCUGAGGGAAGAGCUACUGCCGGCAUGAGUAGCGAUAAAAAGGGCGAGAAACCCUUUCGCCGGAAGUCUAAGGUUUCCUGGGGAAGGUUAAUCCGCUCAGGGUCAGUCGGUCCUAAGCCGAGGCCGAAAGGCGUAGGCGAUGGGCAACAGGUUAACAUUCCUGUACCACCCUGAAAGCGUUUGACCGAAGGGGUGACGCAGAAGGAUAGGCCAUCCCGCGAGUGGAAGUGCGGGUUCAAGCCUGUAGGAGGGGCAUCCAGGCAAAUCCGGAUGCCCGUUAACUCCGAGAGGUGAUAAGGAGUCCUUCGGGACGCAAACUGGCUUAUUCCACGCUGCCAAGAAAAACCUCGUAGGGAGCUUUCAAGGUGACCGUACCGCAAACCGACACAGGUAGACAGGGAGAGUAUCCCGAGGCGCUUGAGUGAUCCCUCGUUAAGGAACUCGGCAAAUUAGCUCCGUAACUUCGGGAGAAGGAGUGCCUCAGUAGGGUGAAGGAGCUUGCCUCCGGAGCCCGAAGAGGUUGCAGAGAAAUGGCCCAGGCGACUGUUUACUAAAAACACAGGUCUCUGCAAAGUCGAAAACGACGUAUAGGGACUGACGCCUGCCCGGUGCUGGAAGGUUAAGAGAAGGGGUUAUCCCCCCUCGGGGGGAGAAGCUCUAAAUCGAAGCCCCAGUAAACGGCGGCCGUAACUAUAACGGUCCUAAGGUAGCGAAAUUCCUUGUCGGGUAAGUUCCGACCCGCACGAAUGGCGUAACGAUCUGGGCGCUGUCUCAACGAGGGGCUCAGCGAAAUUGUAGCACCGGUGAAGAUGCCGGUUACCCACGACAAGACGGAAAGACCCCGGCACCUUUACUAUAGCUUAGUAAUGGACUUUGGGUCGUUAUGUGCAGCAUAGGUGGGAGGCUGUGAAGCGGAGAUGUUAGUCUCCGUGGAGCCAUCGGUGAGAUACCACCCUUAGCGCUCUGGAGUUCUAACCCGGGUCCGUUAUCCGGAUCGGGGACAUUGCUAGGUGGGUAGUUUGGCUGGGGCGGCCGCCUCCCAAAAGGUAACGGAGGCGCCCUAAGGUUCCCUCAGGCUGUUUGGAAAUCAGCCAUCGAGUGUAAAGGCAUAAGGGAGCUUGACUGCGAGACCCACAAGUCGAGCAGGUGGGAAACCAGGGCUUAGUGAUCCGGCGGUCCCGUAUGGAAGGGCCGUCGCUCAACGGAUAAAAGGUACGCCGGGGAUAACAGGCUUAUCUUGCCCAAGAGUUCAUAUCGACGGCAAGGUUUGGCACCUCGAUGUCGGCUCAUCGCAUCCUGGGGCUGAAGAAGGUCCCAAGGGUUGGGCUGUUCGCCCAUUAAAGCGGUACGUGAGCUGGGUUUAGAACGUCGCGAGACAGUUCGGUCCCUAUCUGUCGUGGGCGUAGGAUAUUUGAGAGGAGCUGUCCCUAGUACGAGAGGACCGGGAUGGACGAACCUCUAGUGUACCAGUUGUCCCGCCAGGGGCAUCGCUGGGUAGCUAUGUUCGGCAGGGAUAAGCGCUGAAGGCAUCUAAGCGCGAAGCCCACCUCAAGAUUAGAUAUCCCUCCCGAUAGCAAUAUCGGGACUGAAGACCCCUUGAAGAUUACAAGGUUGAUAGGCCGGGUGUGUAAGUAUGGCAACAUAUUUAGCUAACCGGUACUAAUCGGUCGUGAGACUUGACCAUAAAA
rnacentral:rRNA from 1 species